rnacentral:rRNA from 1 species
GACGAACGCUGGCGGCGUGCCUAAUACAUGCAAGUAGAACGCUGAAGGAGGAGCUUGCUUCUCUGGAUGAGUUGCGAACGGGUGAGUAACGCGUAGGUAACCUGCCUGGUAGCGGGGGAUAACUAUUGGAAACGAUAGCUAAUACCGCAUAAGAUUGACUAUUGCAUGAUAGUCAGUUAAAAGGUGCAAUUGCAUCACUACCAGAUGGACCUGCGUUGUAUUAGCUAGUUGGUGGGGUAACGGCUCACCAAGGCGACGAUACAUAGCCGACCUGAGAGGGUGAUCGGCCACACUGGGACUGAGACACGGCCCAGACUCCUACGGGAGGCAGCAGUAGGGAAUCUUCGGCAAUGGACGGAAGUCUGACCGAGCAACGCCGCGUGAGUGAAGAAGGUUUUCGGAUCGUAAAGCUCUGUUGUAAGAGAAGAACGAGUGUGAGAGUGGAAAGUUCACACUGUGACGGUAUCUUACCAGAAAGGGACGGCUAACUACGG